CGCGGCCUAUCAGCUUGUUGGUGGGGUAACGGCCUACCAAGGCAGCGAUGGGUAGCCGGCUUGAGAGAGUGGUCGGCCACACUGGGACUGAGGUACGGCCCAGACUCCUACGGGAGGCAGCAGUCGAGAAGCUUCGGCAAUGGGGGAAACCCUGACCGAGCGACGCCGCGUGGGUGAUGAAGGUCUUUGGAUCGUAGAACCCUGUCAGGUGGGAUGAAUGCUAUUCGGUUAAUACCCGAGUAGUUUGACAGUACCACCAGAGGAAGCUCCGGCUAACUCCGUGCCAGCAGCCGCGGUAACACGGGGGGAGCAAGCGUUGUUCGGAUUCAUUGGGCGUAAAGAGCUCGUAGGCGGCUCCGUAAGUCAGAGGUGAAAGACCACGGCUCAACCGUGGGAACGCCUUUGAAACUACGGAGCUUGAGGCCGGGAGAGGAAAGUGGAAUUCCUGGAGUAGCGGUGAAGUGCGUAGAUAUCAGGAGGAACACCAGUGGCGAAGGCGACUUUCUGGACCGGUUCUGACGCUGAGGAGCGAAAGCUAGGGGAGCGAACAGGAUUAGAUACCCUGGUAGUCCUAGCCGUAAACGAUGGGCACUAGGUGUGGGGGGAUCGACCCCUUCCGUGCCGCAGUUAACGCAUUAAGUGCCCCGCCUGGGGAGUACGG
rnacentral:rRNA from 1 species